rnacentral:tRNA from 1 species
GGGGUUGUGGCUCAGUGGUAGAGCACUUGCCUAGUGUGUGUGAGGUGCUGUGUGAGGCACUAGGUUUGAUCCCCAGCACCA